rnacentral:rRNA from 1 species
AUUGAACGCUGGCGGCAGGCCUAACACAUGCAAGUCGAGCGGAUGAAGGGAGCUUGCUCCUGGAUUCAGCGGCGGACGGGUGAGUAAUGCCUAGGAAUCUGCCUGGUAGUGGGGGAUAACGUCCGGAAACGGGCGCUAAUACCGCAUACGUCCUGAGGGAGAAAGUGGGGGAUCUUCGGACCGCACGCUAUCAGAUGAGCCUAGGUCGGAUUAGCUAGUUGGUGGGGUAAAGGCCUACCAAGGCGACGAUCCGUAACUGGUCUGAGAGGAUGAUCAGUCACACUGGAACUGAGACACGGUCCAGACUCCUACGGGAGGCAGCAGUGGGGAAUAUUGGACAGUGGGCGGAAGCCUGAUCCAGCCAUGCCGCGUGUGUGAAGAAGGUCUUCGGAUUGUAAAGCACUUUAAGUUGGGAGGAAGGGCAGUAAGUUAAUACCUUGCUGUUUUGACGUUACCAACAGAAUAAGCACCGGCUAACUUCGUG